GUGGCGCAACGGAUAGCUGCUUGGGAAACCAAGAGGAAAGUCCGAGCUGCAGUGAGGCAGGGUUCCACCUAACCGGUGGCCAGCGAAGCCCUUUGGGAUAAGCUGAGGGAAAGUGCAACAGAAAGCAGACCGCCGAUGGCCUUUUGGCACAGGCAAGGGUGAAAGGGUGAGGUAAGAGCUCACCGCUUCUGUGGCAACACAGAAGGCAGUGUAAACCCAACCCGCAGCAAGUCGCACCUGGUUAAAGCCUCACAUUUUUGAGUGCGACGCUAGAGCUUAGUGGUGACACUAAGCGUAGAUAAAUAGCUAUCCACGACAGAACUCGGCUUACAGUUGCGCCACCUCU
rnacentral:RNase_P_RNA from 2 species